rnacentral:rRNA from 1 species
GACGAACGCUGGCGGCGUGCUUAACACAUGCAAGUCGAGCGGUAAGGCCCUUUCGGGGGUACGACGAGCGGCGAACGGGUGAGUAACACGUGGGUGACCUGCCUUUAGUCUCUGGGAGUAAGCCUGGGAAACGUGGGUCUAAUACCGGAUAUGACCCUAUGGCGCAUGUUGUGGGGUGGAAAGCCUUGUGCGGCUAGGGAUGGGCCCGCGGCCUAUCAGCUUGUUGGUGGGGUGAUGGCCUACCAAGGCGACGACGGGUAGCCGGCCUGAGAGGGCGACCGGCCACACUGGGACUGAGACACGGCCCAGACUCCUACGGGAGGCAGCAGUGGGGAAUCUUGCGCAAUGGGCGAAAGCCUGACGCAGCGACGCCGCGUGAGGGAUGACGG